GAUGUGCUUGCACAUCGCUGACGAGUGGCGGACGGGUGAGUAAUGCUUGGGAACUUGCCUUUGGGAGGGGGAUAACAGUUGGAAACGGCUGCUAAUACCGCAUAAUGUCUUCGGACCAAACGGGGCUUCUGCUCCGGCGCAAAGAGAGGCCCAAGUGAGAUUAGCUAGUUGGUAAGGUAACGGCUUACCAAGGCGACUAUCUCUAGCUGUUCUGAGAGGAAGAUCACCCACACUGGGACUGAGACACGGCCCACACUCCUACGGGAGGCAGCAGUGGGGAAUAUUGCACAAUGGGGGAAACCCUGAUGCACCCAUGCCGCGUGUGUGAAGAAGGCCUUCGGGUUGUAAAGCACUUUCAGUUGUGAGGAAAAGUUAAUAUUUAAUACCUGCUAGCCGUGACGUUAACAACAGAAGAAGCACCGGCUAACUCCGUGCCAGCAGCCGCGGUAAUACGGAGGGUGCGAGCGUUAAUCGGAAUUACUGGGCGUAAAGCGCACGCAGGCGGUUUGUUAA
rnacentral:rRNA from 1 species